GGCUCGGAAGGCUCGCGGGCCUGGGCGGGUCACGGCGGCUCCGGGGGUGGGGGGGUGUCAGUGAGUGAAGGGCGGAGCCCACGGUCUCCCUGCCCGGGCGCCUCCUUACUGGACCAGGAGAGCCGAGUGUCCGCGGCAGGGACGCUCGCUCGGCAGCCCUCGGCGCGGCUCCAGGGGCGGCAGAGGUCGCGGAAGGCGGAAAGGUGCGGAACCGAGUGGAGGGGCGUCACGGAGAGGCCUGUCUGCGUGGUACCGGGGGACCCUGAGCUCCAGCUGCAAACAUCGUGGUUGUUCCAGCAGCAGUUUUCACUCACGCGGCUUUGUCCUUUGAGGCUUGUUACCCACGCUGCCUCUGACUCAGCGACGGGAGGGCCUGAGACCCACGUCUGAACAAUCUCUCCAGUGAUGUCAGUUCUGUCGACCCAGCACAAACACAGAAUUCCAAGGAACCAGCAGAUCUGGAGGUUCUGUUGAAUCAUAAAAACACAUUUGAAUUUCUUGCGUGCUAAUUAUAUUGUAUUGUUUUCCAGUGCUUGGAGACUCAAUAAACUUCCAUCCUAAAUAGAACACAACCAAACCACGUUCUUACCAGUUCUGACAGUGAAUUUACAAACAUCUAUCCUUGCCCCCAGGGUACAUUAUAAUAUUAUCUUUAGAGACUCUACAACCUGAGGGUUGUUGCCUCCAACCAAGUAAUAUGGGCUCCAUGAGAAUUAUUUUCUAAACUGGAAGGAAAAUGAUAACUUGUACUGACUUAAGACAAAGGUCAAGAUUCACCUUUCCACAUUUGCAG
rnacentral:lncRNA from 1 species